rnacentral:rRNA from 1 species
AGCGAACGCUGGCGGCAGGCUUAACACAUGCAAGUCGAGCGGGCCCUUCGGGGUUGCCGGCGUGCUUGUUAGUAACGGGUUGGAACGUACCUUCUUGUCUUGAAUAUGCCUGUGAAAUUAGCGCGAAUACCGGAUACUCCUUUUUGGGGAUAGUUUUACUGGCGUGAGAUCGGGCCGCGUGGGAUUAGCUAGUUUGGGGGGUAACGGCAUACCAAGGCGACGAUCAGUAGCUGGUGUGUGAGGAUGCUCAGCCACACUGGGACGCAGACACGGCUCAGACUGGUAGGGGAGGCAGCAGUGGGGAAUAUUUGAGAAUGGGCGUAAGCCUGAUACACCCAUGCAGCGUGAAUGAUGAAGGCCUUAGAGUCGUAAAGCUCUUUUAACCGGGACGAUAAUGACGGUACCGGAAGAAUAAGCCCCGGCUAACUUCGUG